rnacentral:tRNA from 1 species
GCUUUCGUGGUGUAACGGCAACACACUCGGCUCGUAUUCGAGAGGUCCAGAUUCUAGUCCCAGUGAGGGCA